UUUAUCAUUAUCGAUAACCCGUUACACGAUCGUUCGUUUUAUUAUAUUUUAUAUCCGUAAGGAAAAUCAUUUUUACGUAAGUAAACAGUUCGUUAAUUGCGUACCGUGACGAAACGUUGAUUCGAUGAAAAUAUUUGGUUAGUUAACUCGUUGCCGAUUUGUUGUGCAUCGUCGAACUUUCGAUACGAGAUCGUUUCGUGAUACGACGUUUCGUGGGAAACGAGGGUGGGGAAGGGGGGGGAGGCGUUCGUGAAAAAUCUGGUGUUUUCUUUUUUUCCCCUUUUUUUUUCCUUCUUUUUUUCUUUGACUUUCGGUGCAUUUGGUAUCUUUUGUUAACGCGGGACAAUCGAUGUUUGGUGGAUAAGAAGAAGAAUAAGAAUAAGAAGAAGUAGAAGAAGAAGGAAGAAGAAGAAGAAGAAGAAGAUCGAAUGUACACGGGGGUAGUGGAGGAAAGAGGAAGAUAUCCUACUGCUGCAACAACCACCUGUGUUGUUAGGACAAACUCUGACGCGCCAAGGAUGUUGCUCGUGAUCAGGGUUGCUACUGAUGUAGUUUACCUACGUCUCUGAUCCUCCGUUUUUUUUUGACUUUCUGGAUAUAAGGAUACCAAGGAUUACGGAUUUACGCAAACUAGCAGCAGGUCGACGUGUAUCAGAGAGUAUGCAGUAUGUAAAUUGGGACGUUUACGUACGCUCAUGUAACUGGGUAUGCUGAUGGGGUUGCAGAAAUUCUCUACUGGACGUGAUCUUCGUCGAUGAGGCAUCAUCGCGCUCCUAACAAGGAUUUCAACGAUA
rnacentral:lncRNA from 1 species